UGCUUUUCUUUGCCUCUCAGAUGGCCUCUACCGUCUCCUCCCAAACUUAAUUCAGUCUUAAUUCACACCCGCCAGACCCCAGUGCCAUUCAUCAGGGUUGAGCAGAGGAAAAGAGGAGAACAUGGACAUCUUGGUACCCUACUUCGUGAUUCUUGGAACUACAGAAAGGAAAGGUAGAGGGGCUGCUCUUUGUUCCCUUAUCUCUGGGAGCCAGUGACAGUCUGUCCUCCAAAUCUGCUGAUCACAUGGUACGUUAUCAGUCCUGCCUGUCAUUGCCAGGGCUGCGGGGUUGUUGAUGUUUGAUGAAACAGCACCUGAGCGCCAAA
rnacentral:lncRNA from 1 species